rnacentral:rRNA from 1 species
GCCCGGCAUUGAUCCCUCUGUUUUAUCCCACUCUUUUACGGAUGGGAGGCAGGGGUUGGCACUACAUGUUGGACCUGUGGAUCUCUUUGGAGAAGUCAGCAUCAUUUACAAAGAAGAAAUUCCGGANNAAAAAGGUAGGUUCCCUGUGGACUACUUUAGACUUUCGCCUGGCGGUUUUCUUUGUGACCGGAACNUGUUUCCGAAUUCGGGCCACACUUUCGAAUACUCCAAUUCUGUGAUGCUGACUACUAUGGUUUCAACCGACCCGUCUUGA